CCACAGCGCGCGCGCGCGCGCGCGGGGCCUCCGUGAGGAGCGGCGGCAGCUCCGGGCGGCCGCGCCGCCGCCUAGGAAGGCAUUGUCUCAUUAUCUGGGUUGUGGAUUAACAAACUAAGAGCUCGACUGUGUGUGUGUUUUAAACAAUAAAGUAACCAAAAUGGGAAGUACAACUAGUAUGAAGACUUCAUCAGUGUUCUCAUAGGUAAAAACAAAGCAGAGCUCAAAAAGAAAACAAAAACCCCCCAAAAAGAUGAAAUAGAAAACUGGAUAGCUGGAAGAAGAAAAAUACUGAUUCAACAACUGUGACCUACUGAUGAUUUAAGGUAAUAGAAGUAGGAACUGUGAAAUGUAUAAAUUCCGAUGGCAGACAAGAAUUGUUUCAGGUACUACUGUGCUAUAAUGGUUUAGUGUAAUAGUUCAGCUUUGAUAAAAAUACCUCUUACCUAUCUCCUCAAUGUCACAUAAAAAAGAAUCUCAACAAAAAGAUUUCCUGGGCAUUUGGAUGUAUAAUCCGAAUAUAUAAAAUAGGUAAAGUAUAACUCUUUUCAAAAAGCACAUAAUGUAAAAACUCAGUUGAUUCAUUUUGGCUAGCUCCUAAACUUGACAGCUUUUUUUGUUUAAUAUGAGUAGGAUAACAGUUGUCCUUUGCCUUGGCAUCAAAUGCCCUUUGAACUAGGAAAGUCAGAGCAUAUCUCACUGGAGUAAUUUAAUUUUCAUCAAUUUCUGUGGUGUUAAUUCUUUGCCAGAACUCUAAUUCAGGCACAUAGCUGUGUUUGUUCCUGUUUGUGGACACAGAAAGAAGUAUCUCCCUGCCAGCCUCUGGGUACCUUCUUGUCUAGUGAAGUCUUGUUACUGAUUUUCUUGUUGCUUGUUUUCUUGUUGCUGUUGAAGAGCUAAUUUUUAGUGAUGUAGUAGUAAGCACUUCUGAAAAUUAGCUUCUGAAACUUGUAUACAAAAAUCACUCAUUUUUUUCUGCUGAGUAGCCUUUGAAAUGUGCAUGUAUAGUCUGUAUACUGAUAAUUUUGUUUUUGAAUAAGCCUCCUGACUAUUGAAGUGUCGUUCACAGUAUAUUUCCAAACAUUUCCAUCCAUACUCCUUUUAUAUUGUGUGGGGUGUGUGUAUUGUAUUAACAGUGUUAUAUGAAUGAUCUGUAUCCACCAGAUAAAUUAUUCUUAAAAGAAUUUGGUGUGUUUUGUGUGAGGUUUUUUAAUUGCUUUAUUUCUGCACUGUGUUUUUAAGGUUUGCUGUAUCUUAAUCCCAGGAUCACAUAACUGUGGAUGCAAAUUAAUAAUAAUAAUUUUAUGUUUUAUGUGAGGUUUUGAAUAUAAGAAAAGAAAGCUGUUGGCUUUGCAGCAGUAUACUUUUAUGUUAGGGCACAAUUUGUGUCAAUCAGGGUCUGCUCGCUUACACAGUUUUGUGCACAGGCAUCGCUCUUCAAAUGGCCUAUAUUACGCUAUCUAUGCAAAGCUGUGUCUGAAGUUGUGAAGAUGGACUAUUAUUCUUUCUUAGACCCUCAUUAUAGAAGCUCAGACUCCUUAUCGAUAUAUUUAUGGAUGCAUGGAAAUCUCCAUGCAAGACUUAAAUUGAGAGAAUACAAGCCAUUCUUAUUUACUGAUCCUUUGUUAAUGAUUGUAUUCUUAGGAAAAUCAAGGACAAUGAUUGUCAGAUAAGGAAAUGCCUGGUUUCACUGGCCAUUAAGAUCAUGAUCUUCAAUUGUAUUUAUGCUGUUGUCUGUGGAGCUGCCUUGUGGUCCAGUCUCUGUAAAACAAUAGAAUACAUCCAGGUGAUAUAUUUGCCUGCUUCUCCAAGAUGCGUGUUUCUUUCACAUCUAGCCUUGUAAGCCUUGUAAAAGUAUUUCAGUCAAAGCUGGGAGCAAGUUGUCUAGUGAUGAGUUGACUUGAAUUUAAAAGCAAUAUGUAGUACAUUCAUGGAUUAAAAGUGCAACUUCGGGGAACACAUGCAAGCUCACCAAAAAUAUCAUGCAAAACAGUUCCUAGAGUGGCUGAACUCUACUAAGCGCUAAAUUGAGGCGUCUUCUCCCAAAUCCGGAAGUACACUAGACCACUACUGGUGGUUUGUAAUGUGUUUACGUGGACUAGAUCAGGACAUGAGUUACAGCAGUGUAGCUGUAACUUGAAUCAUUUGCCUUAUUCUCAUACUUUCUAUUUUAAAUUGCCUCUGUUUUCUUAGCAAAUUUAUACAUUCUCAACCAACACUGGUAUUAACAAAGAGAAUGGAGGUAUACUGCUUUCUCCAUAAAUGACAGAGGGUAUGGCUUAAACUCAUUCUUUAACAGGCAACAGAAUGGCACAGUGCAUUUUUUCAUUUUCCAAGGUUAUAUAAUCAGAUUUUUGCCUCAGUGUUGCAGAGCGUUUAACAGAUGCUCAGCUGUAUUUGGAUGUAUUAAGCAUUGCUGAAUGUAGGUACUUGCAGUGCUGACGGUCUUAAGACUUACGAGUUAAUACAGUCAAAAUAAAUAUUUAUUUUAUAUGUAUUACAAAAGGAGAAAAGAGCUCUUCUGUUAACUGGCAACCCAAAGCUAUGUUCGGUGAAAUUGAAUUGAAAUAUGGUUAUGGAUUUAAAUGCAAACAGUGGUGAGCUUACAGUGACAAUCCCAGUAUCUGACAAGGCUGUGUAGAAAGGCUAUUCUGGCCACCUGCCAAUGCCCAAAAGUUGCUGAGGCUUGUGUUCUUAUCUUAGCUAGGAGAAAAAUAGGAUGGGAAAGAGCUUGAGGAGGAAAAGAGAGUUUCAGAGUAGUCUAAGAGUAAUGGAAUGAAAUUAAAAUGAAGAAGGAAAAUGUAUCAAGCCUAUGAAUAAUCUCUUAAGAGCAGUGGAAACUCCAUUGGUUAAGCCACUUAACUAAGGAACAAAAGAAAAAUGACUGAGAAACAAUGUAAUUUCUGUUGGAGUCUGUGCUGACUUACAUGCUGGAGUACUGGAAUGUCUGCUUGCAUGUAACAGCACCCUGAAACCCUACUCAAAAAAGCAUAGAUAAGAAACUGCAAUGUCUACUUUUUGACUGCUAACUGCAAUGACCAUCUUUCCUACUUUAAUAGCAUUACAGAAGAUGCCAUAUCAAUAUCUACUGUUAGGCAAAACACCAAAGAUUUAAAUUCCUGAAAAGUUUUAAAUUAUCUACAAGGUUGCAUUAACCUUAAUAUAAAAAUGCGAUAGGUUUCUAGCCUCUCUUCUCAGUUCUAGCAUCUUGAUAAAAAUAUUUUUUUUCUAUUUUUUGCCUGUGAAAUUACCAGCAUAAGACUCAUGGAAGUUGAAAUUCACUGCUUAUGGCAGGAAAAAAAAAAAAAAAAAAAAAAAAAAAAAAAAAGACCAGCUACAUGAGCUGUGCAUGUUUCUCAAUGUAGUACCAGGCUGAUGUGCCUCCUUCUGCCUUCAAUAAACUGCUCUGAAGAAAGAGGAUAUUUCAGAGUCUAUGUUAAUCCAGUUCUUAGCUUGGGUCAUACAGGAUCAGUCAGCAGCUUGCCACGACUAGAAUGGAGAUUGUCGCUGCGUUAGCUGAGAUGCAGUUAAUAAUCCAGUAGGAUCUACAGUGAGGCUGCUGGGCUGAUUUCAUAUGAGCCCCCAUAGAGCUGGGAAGUACAACUCUGCCAGUUUUGACCUAGGCUGCAUACAAAUCACACCCUCAGAGUGAAAAUCACCAUUUUCCCCUUCAACUGUGCCAUCCUCCUGCUCAUACUUCAAAAUUACAGUUCAUUGUCUUCCUACCACUACCUGACGUGAUAGAGAUAGUUAAACAUAGUUAUAUUCUGUAAGCUUUCAGAAAGCUUAAGUGUAAUUGAUUAGGCCAAUGCUUGUAAUUGCUGCAAAUCGUAUUCUGUAUGUUGAGGGGGGAAUCUGAGGAUUUACAAUCCAAGUGAACAUGAAACAAACUGGCAGUGCUUGAUGGUCAGUACUUUUCUUUCUCUUACAGUUAAGAGAAAAAUUUUGAUUAAAUGCAUAUAGUUGACCAAGUUCUUAAGGAGACUAUCAGGAUGCUGUUAUAGUUAAUAAUACCUAGCUGUCCUGUGUCACUGUCCCUCAUUAGUUUUCGAAAUGCUUCAUAGAAGUGGGAAAGGGAGGCACAAAAAAAGUGAAACAACUUGCAUAGGGUUGAUAGGAAUAUGGCAGGUCCUGAGGAGUAUUCUGCUGACUGUAAUAGGAAAGAUAAUGACAAGCAGCUGUUAACGUGUUCAAAGCUAACGUGCCCAGUCAAAUAUGACCAAGUUGUAAAAUGUAAUGAUUUACUGCCUGUAGGUGUUUGAAUUGUGUGAGAUCUUAGGUUUCCUGAAGCGCAAAAUAAAAUGGAUUGUUAGAAACUA